AUGAACCAACCUCCCCUUUUUGCCGUCUUCAGGUAGGUUUCCCUCCCUACCUUCAGGUAGUUUUCUUUAAUUUGGUUAUUUGACGGCGGACUGAUGGAAAUUGGAGAAGAUUGAUUCAAAUCUGUUAUUUGUUUAGUUUUUCUUUAGUUGUUUUGGUGGUUUUUUGCUUUGCAUGCAGGGUUUGUGCAUCCAUGGCAGUUUGCUCCUGUGCUUGCAAGGAGAAGGCGGUGCUCCUUUUCGCCUUCUAUUUUUUGGAGCCAUCUACAUGCUUCAUCUGUUUUCUCCAUCUUCUUUUACGAUUUAGAGGAUUGCAUGGUUUAGUCUGAUGUUGCCAUCUCUUGAUUCAUGUACCGCUUCCAUGUUUUGGUUUGGACGAUUGAUCCUCAAGCUAUAAAAGCCCACUGAUGAACUUUGUCACCAUCCCCUUCGACUGGAAUAAAUGGCUCCUUUGGUUGUGCUCUUUGAUUCCCAUGCCUUUGCUUCAAAUACUUUAGCUUUGAUGAGCUUGGUUGCUGGUGUUGGGAGAUUUCUUCUUGGAGACCGGCAACUUGAAAGUCUCCCCUAGCGACUAUCUUGCAGCAGCAGAACUUGUCACAUACUUUUGUUGCACUUGGACUUUGAGCUUUUUCCUUUGAAUCCUUUGAAUAAAAC
rnacentral:lncRNA from 1 species